rnacentral:rRNA from 1 species
GACGAACGCUGGCGGCGUGCUUAACACAUGCAAGUCGAACGAAGUGGCGAACGGGUGAGUAACGCGUAAUCAACCUGCCCUUCAGAGGGGGACAACAGUGGGAAACGACUGCUAAUACCGCAUACUGAAGGAGGGGAUUGCGUGUGAUUAGCUAGUUGGGGGGGUAAAGGCCCACCAAGGAGAUGAGCGGUAGCCGGUUUUGAGGGCUGAACGGCCAGUUCGGGACUGGGACACGGCCCAGACUCCUUCGGGAGGCAGCAGUGGGGAAUCUUCCGCAAUGGGCGAAAGUCUGACGGAGCAACGCCGCGUGAGUGAUGACGGGCUUCGGGUUGUAAAGCUCUGUUAAUCGGGACGCGGUACCGGAAUAGAAAGCCACGGCUAACUACGUGCCAGCAGCCGCGGUAAUAC